GAAACAGACUCAGAGAAGGGAGUUGACUUUCCUGUGGUCACACAGCAAUACAUGGCAAAAGUAGGACUUAAGAGAUGCCCAGGCCGAGGUACCACACUAAUCCUAUUUCCACCUCCCAAGUCAGCUUAUUCUGCCUCCUCAUAGUGAAGAUGCACAGGGCUUCAAAAAGCUACUAAUGGCCACAGCUGCAGUGUCAUUGUUUAAUUUUGUGCCAGUCAUGAAUUUUCAAGCUAUUGUUUUGAUUUUCAGGCUCCCACUGAUGAAGCUGGUUGCCGUGGAAAUUACCAGGCUGCAGAUGAUUUCAGUCUCAAGGAUGUCCUAAU
rnacentral:lncRNA from 1 species